AGAAAACAGUUAUACACAACAAAUAAGCACAUUUUCAUUACCUUGCAGUCAGUGUCGAGUGACACACGUAAACAACAUCCCGCAAUCUCUUUCAGUCUUUGUUUAUUCUUGGCGGAAUUUUGUAGCCUUGUAGACUGGUUCCCAUACAUUGCAAGUGCCCUGAAUAAGUCAUACGCUUAUUAGUUUUGUUUAUAAGAGGUAAUAUCAGUAAUAUGUCCCGUUCAUUUGACAACCUUUACUUUAAAAUACUGAAUUAUAUAUUAUCGUAUUAUACAGAUGUUUCCACCUCAGUAUUGUGUAAUCCUCUUCAUCCAAGUCUUCUCGAAUACAAAAAGAACGAUCUACUUUUAAUAGUAACCCAAAUAUGGCACUGUGUAUUCGGUUGAAUAGCCAAUCAUUUCAAAUUAAGUUGAGCGGGUCUCAUCGGAUUUUCUGGUAUUUUUGACGAAAAUAUGCAACCAGUGAUCAGUUGACUUGAUACCUUUUCAUCUACCGGUAGAAUUAAGGAGGUUAUUGCUUGGAAAACUGCUCGAGCUCCGGGGCUGGCAUGCACUGCAGGUACAGUGAAAUCAAUUAUGCAGGUUCUUGAAGAAAGUCAUGGAUGACAACAAUGUAUGAUUUACCAGACCAAGGGAUACCAAUGUUUUUUGACAGUACUUGCUCCAGCUACUCAGCUUACUGUGAGAGAGUUAACACCUUAUUGACAGAUCUUUCAUGAAGAAGAAACACUUGAGAAGGGUUCAAUAGUUUAAUUUUAUAGAUGGCAAGUAUUGC